rnacentral:rRNA from 1 species
CCUACGGGGGGCAGCAGUGGGGAAUAUUGGACAAUGGGCGAAAGCCUGAUCCAGCCAUGCCGCGUGUGUGAAGAAGGCCUUCGGGUUGUAAAGCACUUUCAGUGGGGAAGAAAGCCUUGGGGCUAAUACCCUCGAGGAAGGACAUCACCCACAGAAGAAGCACCGGCUAACUCCGUGCCAGCAGCCGCGGUAAUACGGAGGGUGCGAGCGUUAAUCGGAAUUACUGGGCGUAAAGCGCGCGUAGGCGGUCUGAUAAGCCGGUUGUGAAAGCCCCGGACUCAACCUGGGAACGGCAUCCGGAACUGUCAGGCUAGAGUGCAGGAGAGGAAGGUAGAAUUCCCGGUGUAGCGGUGAAAUGCGUAGAGAUCGGGAGGAAUACCAGUGGCGAAGGCGGCCUUCUGGACUGACACUGACGCUGAGGUGCGAAAGCGUGGGUAGCAAACAGGAUUAGAUACCCCGGUAGUC